rnacentral:rRNA from 1 species
CAGUAGCCGCGGUAAUACGUAGGGGGCAAGCGUUGUCCGGAUUUAUUGGGCGUAAAGCGAGCGCAGGCGGUCAAUUAAGUCUGAUGUGAAAGCCCCCGGCUCAACCGGGGAGGGUCAUUGGAAACUGGUUGACUUGAGUGCAGAAGAGGAGAGUGGAAUUCCAUGUGUAGCGGUGAAAUGCGUAGAUAUGUGGAGGAACACCAGUGGCGAAGGCGACUCUCUGGUCUGUAACUGACGCUGAGGCUCGAAAGCGUGGGUAGCAAACAGGAUUAGAUACCCCUGUAGUCCCUGUCUCUUAUAC